UACGGAGGGGGCUAGCGUUGUUCGGAAUUACUGGGCGUAAAGCGCGCGUAGGCGGACCUGCAAGUCGGGGGUGAAAGCCCGAGGCUCAACCUCCGGAACUGCCUUCGAUACUGCGGGUCUCGAGUCCGGGAGAGGUGAGUGGAAUUCCUAGUGUAGAGGUGAAAUUCGUAGAUAUUAGGAAGAACACCAGUGGCGAAGGCGGCUCACUGGCCCGGUACUGACGCUGAGGCGCGAAAGCGUGGGGAGCAACAGGAUAGAAACCCAGUAC
rnacentral:rRNA from 1 species